rnacentral:rRNA from 1 species
GACGAACGUUGGCGGCGUGCUUAACACAUGCAAGUCGAACGGAAAGGCCCUGCUUUUGUGGGGUGCUCGAGUGGCGAACGGGUGAGUAACACGUGAGUAACCUGCCCUUGACUUUGGGAUAACUUCAGGAAACUGGGGCUAAUACCGGAUAGGAGCUCCUGCUGCAUGGUGGGGGUUGGAAAGUUUCGGCGGUUGGGGAUGGACUCGCGGCUUAUCAGCUUGUUGGUGGGGUAGUGGCUUACCAAGGCUUUGACGGGUAGCCGGCCUGAGAGGGUGACCGGCCACAUUGGGACUGAGAUACGGCCCAGACUCCUACGGGAGGCAGCAGUGGGGAAUAUUGCACAAUGGGCGGAAGCCUGAUGCAGCAACGCCGCGUGCGGGAUGACGGCCUUCGGGUUGUAAACCGCUUUCGCCUGUGACGAAGCGUGAGUGACGGUAAUGGGUAAAGAAGCACCGGCUAACUACGUGCCAGCAGCCGCGGUGAUACGUAGGGUGCGAGCGUUGUCCGGAUUUAUUGGGCGUAAAGGGCUCGUAGGUGGUUGAUCGCGUCGGAAGUGUAAUCUUGGGGCUUAACCCUGAGCGUGCUUUCGAUACGGGUUGACUUGAGGAAGGUAGGGGAGAAUGGAAUUCCUGGUGGAGCGGUGGAAUGCGCAGAUAUCAGGAGGAACACCAGUGGCGAAGGCGGUUCUUUGGGCCUUUCCUGACGCUGAGGAGCGAAAGCGUGGGGAGCGAACAGGCUUAGAUACCCUGGUAGUCCACGCUGUAAACGGUGGGUACUAGGUGUGGGGUCCAUUCCACGGGUUCCGUGCCGUAGCUAACGCUUUAAGUACCCCGCCUGGGGAGUACGGCCGCAAGGCUAAAACUCAAAGGAAUUGACGGGGCCCCGCACAAGCGGCGGAGCAUGCGGAUUAAUUCGAUGCAACGCGUAGAACCUUACCUGGGUUUGACAUGGAUCGGGAGUGCUCAGAGAUGGGUGUGCCUCUUUUGGGGUCGGUUCACAGGUGGUGCAUGCCUGUCGUCAGCUCGUGUCGUGAGAUGUUGGGUUAAGUCCCGCAACGAGCGCAACCCUUGUUCACUGUUGCCAGCACGUUAUGGUGGGGACUCAGUGGAGACCGCCGGGGUCAACUCGGAGGAAGGUGGGGAUGACGUCAAGUCAUCAUGCCCCUUAUGUCCAGGGCUUCACGCAUGCUACAAUGGCUGGUACAGAGAGUGGCGAGCCUGUGAGGGUGAGCGAAUCUCGGAAAGCCGGUCCCAGUUCGGAUUGGGGUCUGCAACUCGACCUCAUGAAGUCGGAGUCGCUAGUAAUCGCAGAUCAGCAACGCUGCGGUGAAUACGUUCCCGGGGCU